rnacentral:tRNA from 1 species
GGGUAGCCGCCGGAUGAACGGACGUCAUUGAUGUUGUCGAAUAUGGAGUUUAUAAACUCUGCUACCUU